CGUUGGCACUAAGAUAAAAACCCAUCUGGAAUUAGAUAGUGUACUUUUCUUUUAUCUUUUUGCUUUUGCUUUUCUUGUCUUUUUCUUUCCUGGAAAAAUAUAUUUCCUCUCCUUUGAAAUUUCAAUCUUGCGAGAUCUCAUCGAUGGGAGAGGAAGUGAGGAUGAAGGAUGUUUCGGGCGACGGAGAGAGGGUAAUGGAAUGGGAGAAGGGGCUACCAAGCGACGAAGAUUUGGCGUCGCUCUCGUACUCUCUUGUCCCUUCGAAUCUCGCGAUGGCUUUCAGCAUAACCCCGGAGAAGAGCCGUACCAUCCAGGACGUGAAUCGUGCUUCGGAGACGACCUUCUCGUCGCUGCGCGGCGGAUCUUCCGGUCCCAACACCUCUUCGUCCACCAACCUCGGCGUCGCGGCGGCGGAGGAGGAGGAGGAAGAUCGAGUAGGAUCGAGCAGUCCCGGGUCGGAUUCCAAGAAACAAAAGAUAUCGGAGGAGGAAGGAGAUUCGGGAACUGAACUGAAACGGGCGCGUUUGGUGUGGACGCCGCAGCUGCACAAGAGAUUCGUGGAUGUUGUGGCUCACUUAGGGAUUAAAAACGCAGUGCCGAAGACGAUCAUGCAGCUGAUGAACGUCCAAGGAUUGACUCGAGAGAACGUCGCGUCCCACCUCCAGAAGUACAGGCUCUACCUCAAACGGAUGCAGGGAUUCACUUCGGAAGGUCCCUCUUCUUCCGAUAAGCUCUUCUCCUCAACCCCUGUGCCUCCGCAGAGCUUCCAAGACCAAGGGAGUGCAUCUGCCGGAGCGCCCUCGAUGAUGCAGAUGCCAGUCUAUGCGCACCAUAUGGGUAUGCAAGGGUAUCAUCACCAGAAUCACGCUCAUGAUCCUUAUCAUCAGAACCAUCAUCGCGGAAGUGGCGCACCUGCAAAUCCAUAUAUGAUGCAGCAGAACAAGUUCGGAUCCAUGGCCUCUUAUCCUCCUGUCGGGGGUGGAAGCGCUAAUGAGAAUUAAAAUGAAUUUAAUAGGAUCUUUUUACGAGUUUUUUUCUAAGCCCAUCGUCAUCAUUGCAUCAUACAUAGGAGAUCAGCUGUUCAGACAACCCAUCAUGUCGAAACUAGACCAAUGACUAUUGUUGGAGCACAAUGCAUACAUGAAGACCUCUGACUAGUUUCAUCUACUGAUUUCUAUAUUGUAAUUUGAGGGGAUGGAACUCUGGCACUAGCUCGUUCUGUUCUUCUCUGGGUUCUGCAAAAAAAAGGUCAAGAACCAUGCGGUUAGAGAUUAUAGACACUAGUGAAAAUAGAAACAGAGGAGUUUUAGAAUACCAUUGAAGGGAACCAGGGCAUUUUCUGCAUAGAGUUUUUCGAAUUCAGAUCGGCAAGCAAAAGCAGUGGCACUUGUGGUGCUGAAAAUAACGUUUGGGAGGUUAAACUCUUUGGCUGCAGCUUCAGCAAAGUACAUGAACUCGUCGUAGAUGACACAUGCGAUCUCAUGACUUUGUUGUAUCAUCAACAACCGACUCAGACAGUCCUUGAAGCUCACCUGACACUCUUUGUUGAGCUUAUGCAGAAACCGUAUUGGCCCUAGAUUCUUGAAUUCAGACUCCGGUAAGCUUUCUGGAAUGGUGACAAACUGAAAGUCAG